GGAAGACAAGAGCUCGGCCCUCAGAAAGAAACUUUCACUUGUAACAGUAACCUCCAAGAGAGAUGCCAAUGGCUGUUUCAACCCGUAUAUUUAACAGCCCAGCAGAGAGCCAUUCAUUAGUCUUUCAUCCAUCCAUCCAUCCAUUCACCCAGCUAAUAGUUACCACAUACGUGUGUCUGCCAGGAACUGUACUAGAUGCUGAGGCUGGAGCAGUGGACAAAGAGGAAUGUCCUUUCUCCUCCCACAGAACUAAUACUAGAAAUCUAGCAGAGAGAAAACUGGGUCAUGGGUCCUGAGAGGCCAACUGGUGGUUCCGUUAAGUAGUCGGGGCAGGCAGCUCGGAACGGGUGCGGUUUCCGCGGAGACCUGAAUGACAGGAGCCAGCCGCACAGAGCUCAGCACUUUGUUUUCAGACAGUGCUGGGCAGGUUAGAACGAUGGGCUUGGUUUGGGCGGCCGCCCGGGAUCCCCCUGCCAGGGCUCCGUGGGAGACGGCACCGCUCGGCAGUGGAGGGAAGGCUGCGUCUGGGUUCCCCCCCGCAGGAGGCAGCACGGCGCUAAAGCGCUCUGGGACGGGGAAAGGAAGAGAGUAGGUCUGUCCUCGUGGAUGAGGGCCUCCGGGAGGCAGUAUUUAGAUUCCAAGCGCAGCGGGAAGUCACAGUAUUAAGAAGCGGAGUGGGCAUGGCUUGAUUUACAUCUUAAAAGGGACUUCUGAUGUGAAGAGUCCAUCCGAGGAGGCCAGGGUGUCCACAGACAGCUGUUGCAGCCGUCCACGAGGCCAGGGGGCCGUGGGGGACACAGAGGGGAUGAACUCACUCCUGCAGUGCUCCAGAGGAGGAAGCAGUAAGACCUGUAGGUGCACUGAAUUUGGGGAGGGCAGGAAAGACCACCGUCUCUAGGUUUGGGCCCUGGGCAUCCACGGGUACGGUGCUGAGGUCUACAGAAAUGGCAAAGAUCGGGCGAGCAGGGGCGGGGGAAGACUGUGAAUUCUCUUUUGGUUAUGUUGAUAGUGAGGAGCUCGUGCCAAUCCAGGCAGAGAUGUGGAGGAGCCAGCCGGGCAUACACUGCCUGAGUUCGAAGCAGACAUCAGGGCCAGGGAUGUGGGAGCUGGUGCAAAUCGAUGCUAUUUUACAGCCCUUGAAGUGUGGAAGCUCCCUGGAAGAAUACACAGAAGAGGCCCUGGGCCUUCUCGGAUGGAAGAGGAGCCAGCAAAGGAGGCUGAGCAGGGAAAAUGAACAUAAUAGAGAAAUGUAUUGGCUUCCCAUACAGUCUGGAGGGUCUAUCUGAAAUCAAUGGCCGUGGCUUUCAAGUCAAACCAGAGAGGCAGCAGCUAGCCUUCAUCAAGAAGGGGAAAGACAAGCCCCAGGAGCCCUGCAGAACCUCAUUUUAAGCGUCUGAAUUACACAAAGGCUGCAUUCCUCUCUCUGCCUUUUCACUGCUGCCAUUUGGUUGCAAGUUGAAUACUCCAUAAUAAAAUACAAGAAGCUUCUGGAAAAGACUCGUCUGAAGAAUACCUCCCAGAUUCAUUUGUCAGUGAGACAUCUAAUAAAGACUUUAGAACAAUA